AAAACCACCUCACCUCAAAAAUCUCUAUCUGCCUCGUCAGUUCUCAAACCCCAAAAGGAAAAACCCUCAAACCCCAUUUUUCUCGCACAUGCCCGUCUCUUUCUUUCGCUCCCCUCGCCGUAAUUGUCGAAGCUCGCCGGAGCUCUAUUGUUGGUCGUUCGUGCCGACUCAUCUCUCUCCUCUGUUCGUAUUCUGCCACCGCGGUGCUACUCGCGAGCCACCGCGGUGCUGUUGCUAUUGCCCAUGUGUUUCUCUCUCAUCCUGCACGCUAUAACCACCGGAGUCGCGCCGUGUUGCUCGCCGGUGACUGAGCACCUCUUCUCUCUCUCCAUCGCGCGCUGUUGUUGCGGCGAUGCUGCUUGUUGAUGUUGCGGUUGUUGCUGUGGUUGAUGUAAUGCUGCCGCCGUCGGUAUUGUCUGCCCUACCGUCGUCGCAGCCUCGAUUUGCUGAAGUGAUCUAGGAUUAUGUGCAUGGAUGACUCUUGGAACUCGUCUUUACCCCCUUCGUUCAAAAUUCCAGUUAAAUCAAACUUAAGAGCAAAGUUCGAAAGAAAGAAGGAGAGAGAAUCUUACCCUUUAACUUGGCUUUCAGAGACUUACAUCGCUCCCCCCCCCCUGUAGCUACUAUGCAGGCUUCGGGAGCAAGUGCUUCGGGAAUUGGGGUUCAAAGACAUAUUUAAAAAAGUGAAGGAUGGUGAGAAUGCGAAGGCUAUAUCUUUAUUCAGCAAUGUGGUAAAUCUCAAUGAGGCUAUUGAAGAUCCAGUGAAACGUUUAGAGCAUCUCGUUAGAGGAAUCUUUGCUGAAAAUAUAUUUGACCUUGGCUCUGCACAGCUUGCAGAGGUAUUCUUAAAGGAUGGGAUGUCCUUUCUGGCCAGAACCUUGUCCCUCGACCCUCGGUUAUUGAUGACCUUGAGACAUUCAAAUUGCAGUGGAUAUAAGAAGUCCUGGCAAAAGGCUGUGAUUUUUGUUGAUAAUUCUGGUGCAGAUAUCAUCGUAGGAAUUUUACCAUUUGCAAGGGAAUUACUGUGUCGUGGUACAUAAGAAUUUUACCAGUUGCAGGGGGGUGGUGAGUUGUUGCCUGAAUCAGCAAAUCCAAACACUUCUUGCAGGUGUGAUGAUGGAUGUUGUAAAAUCAUAUACCUUUGGUCUUACAAUUCUCUUUUCUUUUUUCCUUCUUUUGUUGCAAGGGUUUACCUUUGGCCUUACAAUUUUUGGAA